AGCGUGUAAACAGAAGUAGCAUGCAAACAAACCAGAUGUUCUCAUACUUAGGUAUUUUAGCUUAGAUCACUCGGUAUUUAUGCAAGCAUUUAAUGAAUUAAUUGGAUACAUUUAUUAUAUCGGUGAAUAAAUGGGCGUCAGGAUGAUGUUUGUGGUAAAGAGGUUAUUGUCACUUUUUGCCACCAGUUCGGCUCAGCUGUUUAUUAAAGGGUCUAUUAGAUGGAUGGACUUAUCCGACCACUGGUAUUGUUUGUAGCAAUGCAAGUGUAACUGAUUGGUCAAGAUUCGAAAACCCACCCACUCUUGUACAACCUUGUCAUAACAGAUUUGAGUAUCAGACUUGCAACCACCAACCUCAAUAUACGACCAGGGGUUUCACUAGACCCGGGCUUUCGCGGAUCUAGUCCUGGAUGUUUUUUGAUCAGCCCCUAGUUUUCUGCGAGCUGAUAUUAACACAGCAAUGGAAUCAACAUUUGCAAGGCGAGCAAACAAGUUCUUCUUGAAUCGUGACUUCUUUUUGCGCUGUGUAUUGUCAUAUAUCGUAAGAGAAAAAAAGCAACCGGGGCUGUAAAUAAUGCCAAAACAAGCAACAUUGGUGCUGCAGCCGAAGCCCCCCAAACCAACGCAAACUACACACACGUGUACCAUUUAGUUCUGCUAGAAUCAUUCUUUCACACGAAGCAACACAACAUCCUUCAACAACAGCGAUCUCGCCUCCGUUCACCACACCUGGCUCUCCUCUUCCACACGCCAUUGCGCUGCCUUCUGACCUCAUCAAAAAACUUCUGCUAGAAUCAUUCUUUCACACGAAGCAACACAACAUCCUUCAACAACAGCGAUCUCGCCUCCGUUCACCACACCUGGCUCUCCUCUUCCACACGCCAUUGCGCUGCCUUCUGACCUCAUCAAAAAACAUAACUUUUACCUUUCAAUAAAAUAAAUCAGAGCAAUAUCCAGAAUAACCAUUACAUUAAAUUACAAUGAAAUUACUGUGACCUCCCCCACAGAACUCUACCCAUAUUCCUAUUUUAUUAAAUUAUGAAAUUAUAAAAUAACACUUCUAGGUCGCAACAUGUACAUUCAUAACGUUCCCCUAAGGUCUUUCAG
rnacentral:lncRNA from 1 species